AUACGACCGUACCGCAAACCGACACUGGUGCGCGAGAUGAGUAUUCUAAGGCGCUUGAGAGAACUCAGGAGAAGGAACUCGGCAAAUUGACACCGUAACUUCGGAAGAAGGUGUGCCCUAUUAGUGUGUAGUGAACAACGAAGCAUGAAUGGGUUGCAAAAAAUCGGUGGCUGCGACUGUUUAUUAAAAACACAGCACUCUGCAAACACGAAAGUGGACGUAUAGGGUGUGACGCCUGCCCGGUGCUGGAAGAUUAAAUGAUGGGGUGCAAGCUCUUGAUUGAAGUCCCAGUAAACGGCGGCCGUAACUAUAACGGUCCUAAGGUAGCGAAAUUCCUUGUCGGGUAAGUUCCGACCUGCACGAAUGGCGUAACGAUGGCCACACUGUCUCCUCCUGAGACUCAGCGAAGUUGAAAUGUUUGUGAUGAUGCAAUCUCCCCGCGGAAAGACGGAAAGACCCCAUGAACCUUUACUGUAGCUUUGUAUUGGACUUUGAACAGAUCUGUGAAGGAUAGGUGGGAGGCUUUGAAGCAGGGUCGCUAGAUCUUGUGGAGCCAACGUUGAAAUACCACCCUGGUGUGUUUGAGGUUCUAACCUAGGUCCAUUAUCUGGAUCGGGGACAGUGCAUGGUAGGCAGUUUGACUGGGGCGGUCUCCUCCCAAAGCGUAACGGAGGAGUUCGAAGGUACGCUAGUUACGGUCGGACAUCGUGACGAUAGUGCAAUGGCAUAAGCGUGCUUAACUGCGAGACUGACAAGUCGAGCAGAUGCGAAAGCAGCACAUAGUGAUCCGGUGGUUCUGUAUGGAAGGGCCAUCGCUCAACGGAUAAAAGGUACUCUGGGGAUAACAGGCUGAUACCGCCCAAGAGUUCAUAUCGACGGCGGUGUUUGGCACCUCGAUGUCGGCUCAUCUCAUCCUGGGGCUGUAGCCGGUCCCAAGGGUAUGGCUGUUCGCCAUUUAAAGAGGUACGUGAGCUGGGUUUAAAACGUCGUGAGACAGUUUGGUCCCUAUCUUCCGUGGGCGCUGCAGAUUUGAGGAAGCCUGCUCCUAGUACGAGAGGACCGGAGUGGACACACCUCUGGUGUAUCGGUUGUCACGCCAGUGGCAUUGCCGAGUAGCUAAGUGUGGAAGAGAUAACCGCUGAAAGCAUCUAAGCGGGAAACUCGUUUCAAGAUGAGAUCUGCCGGGGCCUUGAGCCCCCUAAAGAGUCGUUCAAGACCAGGACGUUGAUAGGUCGGGUGUGGAAGCCAA
rnacentral:rRNA from 1 species